AGAGUUGUAUCCUGGCUCAGAACGAACGCUGGCGGCAGGCCUAACACAUGCAAGUCGAGCGCGCCUUCGGGUGAGCGGCGGACGGGUUAGUAACGCGUGGGAACGUGCCCUUCUCUACGGAAUAGCCUCUGGAAACGGAGAGUAAUACCGUAUACGCCCUUUGGGGGAAAGAUUUAUCGGAGAAGGAUCGGCCCGCGUUAGAUUAGGUAGUUGGUGGGGUAACGGCCUACCAAGCCUACGAUCUAUAGCUGGUUUUAGAGGAUGAUCAGCAACACUGGGACUGAGACACGGCCCAGACUCCUACGGGAGGCAGCAGUGGGGAAUCUUAGACAAUGGGGGCAACCCUGAUCUAGCCAUGCCGCGUGAGUGAUGAAGGCCUUAGGGUCGUAAAGCUCUUUCGCCUGUGAUGAUAAUGACAGUAGCAGGUAAAGAAACCCCGGCUAACUCCGUGCCAGCAGCCGCGGUAAUACGGAGGGGGUUAGCGUUGUUCGGAAUUACUGGGCGUAAAGCGCGCGUAGGCGGAUUAGAAAGUUGGGGGUGAAAUCCCGGGGCUCAACCCCGGAACUGCCUCCAAAACUGCUAGUCUAGAGUUCGAGAGAGGUGAGUGGAAUUCCGAGUGUAGAGGUGAAAUUCGUAGAUAUUCGGAGGAACACCAGUGGCGAAGGCGGCUCACUGGCUCGAUACUGACGCUGAGGUGC
rnacentral:rRNA from 1 species